UUUUUGAAUUGGGUUUAAAAAAUAGUUUACUGUAUUCAAUCUCAACGGGUCUGAUUGCAUUUGCUUACAGUUCUAUAAAUUACUUACUUUCUAAUUUUUAUUUCAUUUAAAACUUACUGAAAUAUUCAUUCGCUUACUAUGAGUUUAUUUUACAUUACGAGCUAAGACGGUGUUAGCUGACCUGGUUGCUUCUAUAACUAAACAAAUGUAUAAUGAACAAAGACUUAUAUACAUAUAUUGAUUAAAUAUUUAAAAAAUAUCGUAGCUGAUAAAAUUGUGAUGGGUUCUUUAGCGACAGCAAAAGCAAACCUCUGAAC